AGUUAGCAAAACAAAAUAUUUUGCAGGAGCGAGCAUUUGAAACUAAUUUUUUGAGAAGAACAUGCCUGAAAGUUAUCUAGAAAGAAGACAAAGAACCAUAAGGCAAGAUUGACAAGGAGAACAUAAUUGGCCACUUCACUUGUAUCAUGACCUGCCAUCCCCAGAAUCAGCCUGGUAAACCUUCGCUGCACUGCCUUGACAGCAAGAGCACCAUUCCUCAGAAAAGGAGACCAAAACUGCAUACAAUAUUCCAGGUGUGAUCUCACUAAAGCCCUGUAUAACUGCAACAACACAUUCGUGCUCCUGUACUCAAAACGUCUUGCAAAGAAGCCCAUCAUACCAGCAUACCAGUUCUUUGAGGAGGUGACCAGACUGGUGGAUGAAGCUAUCUCGGAGAAAUGCUGAUCAGAUUCCAAGAACUUUGCUGCAGGAGGGAAUUAAAAUCAGUUAGUGAGUCAUCUCUGACCACUUUAAUUCACUUCCAAGUAUGCUGCUCAGGGACAACUAGACAGAUUCUUGGAGCCAGAUCAACCUUCCGCAUGUUGAAAGUGCAUCAUAAAUAAAUGUAAUGAAUAGAAUCAGCAGACAUAAUAAAACAUCUGGAAAUGACUGCUGGCUAAUCAUCAUCAAGAUCUUGAAAAUGUGACAAAAUAAUGAAACAAUGGUGAUAUAGAACAAUAAAAUUCGUGCCUCCGGAGGUUGUCCAUUUAUAAGAUCAUUUUUGGUUCAGUUCCGAUUAUUUCACCACAGAAACGUUGAAGAAAUUUAAGGAAGAUCUUGAAGACUUAGCCCAAAAGUAAAUCAAAUAACUUGUGAAGAAAUAUUACAGGAACUUAACUGCAAAAGUAUCAAAGUCCUUUGUUUGUUGUCUGUGAGAAUGUGAUUGGUUGCUUAUGAUGCUUGCUGUCAUUACUGCUUUUGGACAUCCGAGGACACCCUUUUCACUACUGUCAGAUUAAAACCUCGAUUGGGAAUCUGUGUGACGGUGAUCAUUACUUAUGUGAGCAGAUUCCUGCAAGGCCAGCAAUGAGUUCUAUUGCCUAGGCACUGGAUCAAACUGUCAAAUAUGUUACAAAUAAAUACCUGUAAAUAAUAUUG